AUUGAACGCUGGCGGUAUGCUUAACACAUGCAAGUCGAACGGCAGCAUGGUCUAGCUUGCUAGACUGAUGGCGAGUGGCGGACGGGUGAGUAACGCGUAGGAAUAUGCCUUGAAGAGUGGGACAACUUGGGGAAACUCAAGCUAAUACCGCAUGUACUCGAGAGAGUAAAGCUGGGGACCUUUAGGCCUGGCGCUUUGAGAUUAGCCUGCGUCCGAUUAGCUAGUUGGUAGGGUAAAGGCCUACCAAGGCGACGAUCGGUAGCUGGUCUGAGAGGAUGAUCAGCCACACUGGAACUGAGAGACGGUCCAGACUCCGACGGGAGGCAGCAGCGGGGAAUAUUGGACAAUGGGGGGAACCCUGAUCCAGCAAUGCCGCGUGUGUGAAGAAGGCCUGAGGAUUGUAAAGCACUUUCAGUGGGGAGGAGGUUUGGAAGGUUAAGAGCUAUUCAAAUGGACGUUACCCACAGAAGAAGCACCGGCUAACUCCGUGCCAGCAGCCGCAGUAA
rnacentral:rRNA from 1 species